GAUAAAUUUUUUAUAUUUUUAAUAAUUUAUUAUAAAUUUAUUUUACAUGUAAAUUUUAGUAUGAAAUUUUAAUUAUUUUAAUAAUAAUUAAUUUAAAUUUACAGUAAUUAAAAUUAAAAAUUUAAGAAAUUAAGAUUUAGUAAUAUUUAAAUUAAUAACUAAUUUUGUGCCAGCAGUUGCGGUUAAACAAAAAUUAAAUUAAAUUAUUUCAGUAUAUAAUAAAUAAUGAAUAAUUAAAUUAAAUAUUAAAUUAUUAAGUGAAAUUUUAAUUUAAUUAAAAAUUAUUUUAAAAUUAUGAUUUAAUAAAUUUUAUUAUAAACUAGGAUUAGAUACCCUAUUAUUAAAAAUUUAAUUAAAAAUACUAAAAUAGUAAAUAAAAUAUUAUUGAAACUUAAAUAAUAUGGCGGUAUUUUAGUUCAUUUAGAGGAAUCUGUCUAAUAAUUGAUAAUCCACGAAUAAAUUUACUUAAUUUUAUAAUUUUGUAUAUCAUUGUUAAAAAAAUAUUUUUUAAUAAAAAUAAUAUUUUAAAAUUUAAAAUAAAAUUUAAUUCAGAUCAAGAUGCAGAUUAUAAUUAAGUUUAAGAUGGAUUACAAUAAAUAUAUUUAAAUGGAAAGAAUUUUGUAAAAUUUAAUUGAAGGUGGAUUUAAAUGUAAUUUUAAUUAGUUUAUUAAAAUGAUUAAAAAUUGAAAUAUGUACAUAUUGCCCGUCACUUUCAUUUAAAAAUUGAAAUAAGUCGUAACAAAGUAGAGGUACUGGAAAGUGUUUCUAGAAUGAA
rnacentral:ncRNA from 1 species